rnacentral:lncRNA from 1 species
ACUCCCUCCGUCCACGAAAUGAGUACCCAUUUGUGGACGGCACGGGUUUUAAGAAAUGUAUGGAGUGUAGUGUGAAUAGUUUAAGGGUCCCACUUUUUUAGUGUAUUGAUUAAAGAGAUGUGUGGGGUACACUUGCCAAAAAGGGAAAUGGGUACUCAUUUCGUGGACGGACGAAAAAGGAAAUAUGGGUACUCAUUUCGUGGACGGAGGG